rnacentral:rRNA from 1 species
AUGAGGUUUGACACUUUGGAAGGUGCCAGAGAGCACUACAAUGCUUAUGCUUUUCAAAAGGGUUUUUCAAUCAAAAUGAACACUUCAAGGAGGUCUGUUAUCAUUGGUCAAAUGGAGAAGUAUCAAUUUGUCUGCAACAAGUUCAGGAAACCAAAAAAUGAAGACACGGGUGGUAAGACUGCAGACCCUUGUGGAGUUGAAGAUCCCCGUGGAGGUGCAGAUGAUGAUGAUGGAGAAGACAAUGUUAUCAUAUUUGUUGAUGAUGCUGCUGAACAAAAGAAGAAGACCAAGAAACGGAAAAGAGAGAAAAUAAUACCGACAGGGUGCAAAGCCAAGAUGAUAGUAAAAUUCAUUGAUGGUCGGUGGGAGGUGACUUAUUACAUUUCUGAGCAUAACCAUCCAUUGGUUGACAAACCAUCUUUAUCUAAAUAUUUGCGGUCACACCAAGGCAUUCCUGCAGAAGAGAGGUUGUUUCUGACAAACCUUCAUAACUGCAACUUGAGUUCAGGGCGAAUGAUGCACAUUAUGUCAGAGUACUAUGGCACAUAG